UCUGUGGGUUCUUCGAGAAGGAGAGUAACCUCCUUCGGCCCAUGGACAAACCCUUCCCAUUGGAGACGGACACCAGCCCCCGCGAGGAGGCCAAGGGGGCCCGAGGCCGAACUCCCCGACUGCUGCAGGUUCUGGCCAAGUCUACUGGCACGGCAACCUCCUCCGUUUCCGGACCCCAGCUGGGGGCUGCUGGGGUGGGGUGAAUGACCUCCGCCCUAGAAGCCUAACCUGUGUCCCACCCCCACCCCCUACUCUCAGGGUCGGGGUGAGGAAAAUGAGAUCCAGAGAGGUGAUGUGACUUAGCUGCUCAAGCUGCUCAGAGCAUGGAGAAAAAUGGCAA